AAAGGGAGACCUAAUUCAGGUAGGAGACGAAAAAAAAGUAGUCCCUACCAAGAAUCAAUCCCAAAAGGUCGGAGCGAGGCAAAAUUGGCUUUCAAACUAGGUUCUGGGUUCACACAAGACCUGAAUCAGGAACAAGGGCUAUUAGCUCAGGUGGUUAGAGCGCACCCCUGAUAAGGGUGAGGUCCCUGGUUCGAGUCCAGGAUGGCCCACCUGCACAGGUGGCCAAAACAAAGAAAAAAAGCUCCGAAUCAGCACCUUAUCUUACUUAUAUAGUAAGAGAGAAUGCUGGCUCUGAGUACAGAGUCCAGAGGAACCUUGAAAACUGCAUAGAGCUAGGUGAAAAAGCCAAAAAAGAAGACCGCAAG
rnacentral:tRNA from 1 species